rnacentral:rRNA from 1 species
GAAGCGGCCACACCCGGCUGGCAACAUCCAGCUCCACUCCGAACCUGGAAAUUAAGCAGUCGCGGGCCACAUCAGUACUGGGCUGGGCGACUUCCCGGGAACGUGCGGUGCUUGCUUCUUUUUCCUUUUUGCGCGGUGCAGGGCUAUUGCCCUGCACCAAUACUACACUCUACACCUAUGUUUGUCCCUGCUAAAACUCUUAUAUGUUGAGAUAUUUUAUAAUUUUAUAUUUUUUAUUAAAAAAUGAAAAUUUUUCAUAAGCGAGACUCCCUCCGCUGGAGGAAAUUGAGAGUGGUAAUGGUAGUGUGAAUAGUGUGUGACGAACAAUCCUUUC